CCCCUCUCAGGGUCACACCUGGAGAGUUUCCAGUCCUCUACCAGUCACGACUAUGGGAGGGAGAGUCAAGCAGAGGCCUGUCCAUUCCGUUCCUAGCUUGGCCAGCGGCUAGCGAGUGGAAGGCCAUCUGCUACAAGU
rnacentral:snoRNA from 2 species